UGGUUCUGGCAUCGAUGAAGAACGCAGCGAAAUGCGAUAAGUAAUGUGAAUUGCAGAAUUCAGUGAAUCAUCGAAUCUUUGAACGCACAUUGCGCCCUUUGGCAUUCCGAAGGGCAUGCCCGUUCGAGCGUCAUUAAACCCACUCAAGCCUGGCUUGGUAUUGGGUGCCGGGGACUUCCCGCGCCUCCAUUUCGCCGGCUGGCCGUCCUUUGACUUAGCGUUGUGGCACAUGCCGCUGACGACAAAGACGGACUGUGCCGUGAAAAUUUCCUUGGAUGUUACCCAACAUUCAGUAAAGGUUGACCUCGGAUCGGGUAGGAAUACCCGCUGA
rnacentral:misc_RNA from 1 species